GACGGAGGAUGCAAGGGUUAUCCGGAAUCACUGGGCGUAAAGCGUCUGUAGGUGGUUUAAUAAGUCAACUGUUAAAUCUUGAGGCUCAACCUCAAAAUCGCAGUCGAAACUAUUAGGCUAGAGUAUAGUAGGGGUAAAGGGAAUUUCCAGUGGAGCGGUGAAAUGCGUAGAGAUUGGAAAGAACACCGAUGGCGAAGGCACUUUACUGGGCUAUUACUAACACUCAGAGACGAAAGCUAGGGUAGCAAAUGGG
rnacentral:rRNA from 1 species